rnacentral:misc_RNA from 1 species
AACGCACAUUGCGCCCGUCAGUAUUCUGGCGGGCAUGCCUGUUCGAGCGUCGUUAUUUCCAUCAAGCCCUGUGCUUGUGUUGGGAUUCUGCGGCUGCCGCAGUCUCUUAAAAGCAGUGGCAGACUCGCUGUCAUACCGAGCGCAGUAACAUAUCUCGCUCUGGGCAUGGUAGUGAGCACUGGCCGUUAAAAUACUUCACGUAGGUUGACCUCGGAUCAGGUAGGAAUACCCGCUGAACUUAA